rnacentral:rRNA from 1 species
CAAUAGCGUAUAUUAAAGCUGUUGCGGUUAAAAAGCUCGUAGUUGGAUUUCUGUCAAGGACAACUGGUCCGCCCUCCGGGUGAGCACAUAGUUUGGUCUUGGCAUCUUGCUGGAAACUGUUGCUGCACUUGGUUGUGUGGCGCAGCAUCCAGCACUUUCACUUUGAGGAAAUUGGAGUGUUUCAAGCAGGCACAUGCCUUUGGACACAGUAGCAUGGAAUAAUUAGAUUGGGCUUUUGCUCCAAUUUGUCGGUUUCUGGAGCUGAGGUGAGAAUUAAUGGGGAUUGUUGGGGGCAUCCGAAUUUAGCCGUCAGAGGUGAAAUUCUUGGAUCUGCUAAAGACGGACAACUGCGAAGGCGUUUGCCCAGGAUGUUUUCAUUGA